UACAGAGGUCUCAAGCGUUGUUCGGAUUCAUUGGGCGUAAAGGGCGCGUAGGCGGUUCGAUAAGUCCCGUGUGAAAUCCCUCGGCUCAACUGAGGAACUGCACGGGAAACUGACGGGCUUGAGUUCGGGAGAGGGAAGCGGAAUUCCGGGUGUAGCGGUGAAAUGCGUAGAUAUCGAGAGGAACACCUGCGGCGAAGGCGGGUUGCUGGGCCGACACUGACGCUGAUGCGCGAAAGCCAGGGGAGCGAACGGG
rnacentral:rRNA from 1 species